rnacentral:rRNA from 1 species
CCUACGGGAGGCAGCAGUGGGGAAUAUUGGACAAUGGGGGCAACCCUGAUCCAGCCAUGCCGCGUGUGUGAAGAAGGCCCUCGGGUUGUAAAGCACUUUCAGUGAGGAAGAACGCCUGGUGGUUAAUACCCAUCAGGAAAGACAUCACUCACAGAAGAAGCACCGGCUAACUCCGUGCCAGCAGCCGCGGUAAUACGGAGGGUGCGAGCGUUAAUCGGAAUUACUGGGCGUAAAGCGCGCGUAGGUGGCUUGAUAAGCCGGUUGUGAAAGCCCCGGGCUCAACCUGGGAACGGCAUCCGGAACUGUCAAGCUAGAGUGUAGGAGAGGAAGAUAGAAUUCCCGGUGUAGCGGUGAAAUGCGUAGAGAUCGGGAGGAAUACCAGUGGCGAAGGCGGCCUUCUGGACUGACACUGACACUGAGGUGCGAAAGCGUGGGUAGCAAACAGGAUUAGAUACCCGAGUAGUC